rnacentral:rRNA from 1 species
GAUGAACGCUGGCGGCGUGCCUAAUACAUGCAAGUCGAGCGAACGGACGAGAAGCUUGCUUUUCUGAUGUUAGCGGCGGACGGGUGAGUAACACGUGGAUAACCUACCUAUAAGACUGGGAUAACUUCGGGAAACCGGAGCUAAUACCGGAUAAUAUUUUGAACCGCAUGGUUCAAAAGUGAAAGACGGUCUUGCUGUCACUAAUAGAUGGAUCCGCGCUGCAUUAGCUAGUUGGUAAGGUAACGGCUUACCAAGGCAACGAUGCAUAGCCGACCUGAGAGGGUGAUCAGCCACACUGGAACUGGGACACGGUCCAGACUCCUACGGGAGGCAGCAGUAGGGAAUCUUCCGCAAUGGGCGAAAGCCUGACGGAGCAACGCCGCGUGAGUGAUGAAGGUCUUCGGAUCGUAAAACUCUGUUAUUAGGGAAGAACAUAUGUGUAAGUAACUGUGCACAUCUUGACGGUACCUAAUCAGAAAGCCACGGCUAACUACGUG